CUUUUAAAAAAAUUCUUCUAAUUAAGGUUUAUAAUUUACGGUUUAAUUAGAAUGAUGUAAAAAUUAGAAUAAAAAUAUAUUAAAAUUAAUAAAUAAUAUUUAACCAGUCAACUAAGAGGAAUAUAUAUAUAUAUGGGAAUUAUAUGUACCGCUCUAUAUUGGCUUAAAGGGAUCAGCAUCCAAUCCUAUAGUGAGAGGUCAGUUUAGACGAGUCAUGUUCAAAAUUGUGUGAGACUGAGUUGUAUCGAGUCAUGUCCGAAGUGGUGAGAGGCUGAUCGGACUGAGUUAUAAUUGAGACUCAUAAGUGCUAUGCCUGUAUGCUUUAAAUAAAUUGAUUUUAUCUUUCUAAAAGUUUGAACUUUUGGAAUUAAUGAUUAGUGCCAAUGAUCUGACAUUUCGAAGAAAUAUAUUAGAUGCUAAAACUUUGCAGGAAUAAAUAUGCAACUUAUCUCUUUACAU
rnacentral:lncRNA from 1 species